AAGCCGUGGUGGGGGCAUUGGUUAGUGUAGCUUCUAAACCGUUCCCAAGCUUCGCUAAAGCUCUCAUUGUUGUUGCUGCGUGAAGCUUGAGAUCUGGUUUCUGAGCUU
rfam:Eutrema salsugineum unplaced genomic scaffold scaffold_11, whole genome shotgun sequence.